ensembl:snRNA U5 U5 spliceosomal RNA
NNACUCUGGUUUCUCUUCAGAUCACAUAAUCUUUUGCCUUUUACUAAAGAUUUCUGGGGAGAGGAACAAUUUUGAGUUAGUAACCAAUUUUUUGAGGCCUUGUUUGGCAGGGCU